rnacentral:rRNA from 1 species
GACGAACGCUGGCGGCGUGCCUAAUACAUGAAAGUCGAGCGAAGCGGCGGAUGGGUGAGUAACGCGUGGGUAAACUGCCCUUAAGUCUGGGAUAACAUUUGGAAACAGAUGCUAAUACCGGAUACUAACGGAUGGACCUGCGAUGCAUUAGAUAGUUGGUAAGGUAACGGCUUACCAAGGCGAUGAUGCAUAUGCUAGGUGAGAGACUGAUCGGCCACAUGGGGACUGAAACACGGCCCAAACUCCUAGGUGAGGCAGGAGUAGGGAAUCUUCCACAAUGGACGAAAGUCUGAUGUAUCAACGCCGCGUGAGUGAAGAGGGUUUUCGGAUCGUAAAGCUCUGUUGUUGGUGAAGCGGUAAUCAACCAGAAAGUCACGGCUAACUCCGGGCCAGCAGCCGCGUAAUUC